rnacentral:lncRNA from 10 species
AACCACUCUGGAAUAUGAGAAGUGCUCUGAGCCAGGGAAGAAGUACCUGCUCCUCCUACAAGGCCCAGCAGUAUCAGCGACAGAUUAUGCUUUUGCAAAACUAGGUUUACAAUAUCACGAAUAGUUUGCGGGCGGAGAAUAUUUCCACAGAACAGGAAGGAUGAUUUCUUCAGACAGACAAAGCUUUGCUGGAGCGUUUCUGCCGUCAACAGUCAAGUGGAGGAAAGACAGUGACAGUGGAUAAACUGCAGAAGCUGCUCCAGGAUCUGGGAGCACAGCCUCCUGACCAUGCAGGGAGAGGUGUCAGGAGAGGCCCCGCAAGACACCCAGAGGAGACCCUUCAGUUGUAAAGGCUGAGGAGGAACUUCCAUCUGGGCUUUUCUGAGGAUGAGUGAACUAGCUCAUCUAGCAACCGGGAAUUGGUGUGCAACACUGGCCAAGUCCUAAACCUCUCUAAGCCUCAGUUUCAUCUCCUAUGAGUGGUACUGGGAUUCUGAUGAGGUUUUAAUGAGUGAAGAAUAAGUACAAUGCCUGGCACAUGGUUCUGCCUUUGUCACCCACGCUGGAGUACAGUGGCUCGAUCAUGGGCCACUGCAACCUCUGCCUCCAGGGCUCAAGCUAUUCUCCCACCUCAGCCUCCUGAGUAGCUGAGACUACAGGCAUGUGCCACCACGCCCAGCUAAUUUUUGCAUUUUUU